UCAGCCCGUGCAGCUAUUUACCUCUGUUGC
rnacentral:piRNA from 1 species